rnacentral:rRNA from 1 species
CCUACGGGUGGCAGCAGUCGAGAAUCAUUCACAAUGGGGGAAACCCUGAUGGUGCGACGCCGCGUGGGGGAAUGAAGGUCUUCGGAUUGUAAACCCCUGUCAUGUGGGAGCAAAUUAAAAAGAUAGUACCACAAGAGGAAGAGACGGCUAACUCUGUGCCAGCAGCCGCGGGAAUACAGCGGUCUCAAGCGUUGUUCGGAAUCACUGGGCGUAAAGCGUGCGUAGGCUGUUUCGUAAGUCGUGUGUGAAAGGCGCGGGCUCAACCCGCGGACGGCACAUGAUACUGGGAGACUAGAGUAAUGGAGGGGGAACCGGAAUUCUCGGUGUAGCAGUGAAAUGCGUAGAUAUCGAGAGGAACACUCGUGGCGAAGGCGGGUUCCUGGACAUUAACUGACGCUGAGGCACGAAGGCCAGGGGAGCGAAAGGGAGUAGAUACCCUAGUAGUC